AUUACUGUGCAGUUUCAAAAGAACCCCUCUCCAAAGGAAAUGAUGAUGGAUCAUCCCUAGUUCCCUACCAAGUUCAGAGAUGCAGAAGACACUGCACAGCGACCAGAUGGACAGACUCUCCAGGACAGAGGGAGUACUGCUGUGCCAAUGUCCUAGUCCUAGUGGAGCGCCAUGCACUUCAUUUGUCCAUUAAUUAUCUACAAACUUUCAAUACAGAUAGCAAAAAAAGGUCUCUAUAUAUAUACCUGAGGAAUGGUGUGUUCCACAGCAAGAA